UCUUAUCUCCCCCAAAUCUCAUCCUUUGCUCUUUCUUCUUUGAUAAACCGAGAUCUCUAGAAAUCAAACUCAGUCUCUCAAAAUCGAGAGCUAUGUUUUCUAAACGCUCAUAUAUAUGAUAAAUCGAAACCAUAAUCAAACCCUAGGUUUACUUCAACGAGGGUGAGAAACCAAGCAUAGAGAAACCCUAGAUUUACUUCAACCUCCCAUUAUUAUACUGCAAUUUCUUGUUUUCUGAUACCAGGGAACUAAUUAUUGGAUGGAGAUAGAUUGGCGAAACGAACGGACAACAAAAGAUCAGAAAAUUGUCUGAUUUGGGUUUUUAUUCGUUUUCUCCUGAGUUUAGCUCUGAAGCUGGUGGGUCUGUAAUUGUUGGCGUUAUGUGUGGCUGUUGGCCGGUGUUUCUCGUGGUAGCUUUGGUGUUACUGGAGGUGUAGGUGGUUUGGUUACCUAGGCUUGAUUUUAGGAAUGCUUCUUGAUGAUGGUUGCAUUUUUAACUUAUAUGUAUGGUUUAAUUUGUAUGGUGGUUGUGCAGGCUGUUGUUCUUGAUUAAAUACUUGAAGAUGAUCUUGUUACUGAGUUACAGAAGUAUUUGGAAAAUUUUAUGAACUUGUAAGCUUCACUGCGACUUAAUCUCUUUUAACAAUCUCACCAUUUCGAGAAACAAAUCAGCUUUUUACAAUUUAUUUCCUUAGUGGACAGAUUUGACAAUAUUAUGCUUGUGGACAGAUUUGACAAUAUUAUGCUUUACCUGCUUAUUUAGGCAGAGACAUUUAAUACCUUCCUAACCAAGUUAGUACAUCAUCACCAACUUCAUUGAUCAAAUGAUAUUUUCGCGAUACUGUACAGAGAUGCGGAGAAAUAGCCGGUCACAUGUCUAGCUAAUGGGUCUAGCUGAUCAAUUCGAGCAAGUGAAACUUAAUUUGUUAUGCAGGUCACCUCGUUUCUUGUUUGAGAUAUGGGUAUUUAUUGGCGUGUGGGUGUUGAGUGGUUUUAAUUGAGUUUCUGAAUAACUAAAUUUUUACUGUUGGUUAGUUAAUAGACAAUACGUGGUUAGUUGGUUACAGAAUGAUAUCAUUUAUGUCAAUAAGAUUGGCUGCAGAUUGAUAACAUUGAAUAUUUUUUUAUUUCUUUUUGUGCUACAGAUUGUUACUGAUGCUCAUUAUGAGAAGAUGUUGGAAGUUUCAAAAUGCAUAAAUGUUACACACUACACCAACCCGUUGCCCUUUUUACAAGGAGAGCUAAGGGGCACCUCGAGCAAUCAUAGAGGGCCAAUCUUCUAUAUAAAAUGGAACAGAUAGGGUAAUAAUCUUCUUACUGGAAGUUCUGAUGGAACUGCUAUUGUGUGGCGGUGGCGAAUGAAUACCUUGAGACGGACUCAAAAAUUUGAAUUUCACUCUGAUUGAGUCCUGGAUGUUGAUUGGCGGGAUUGCGACACAUUUGCAACGAUCUCAGCUGACACCAAAAUCAACGCUUGCAAGGUUGGAGAGAAUCAUCCUGUUAAAACCUUUUUGGGGCAUAAGGUGCUGGUGCAAUAGAAGUUUGGGCUGGUUCCCUGCAUCAGGAUUAACUACGCAACAAGUUCAGGAAAUUGGUAUGUUAAAUCAGUUAUAAUUCAGCUCCGCUACUCCGACAUUUUCAUCUCAUUUUUCCAAGUUCAAUGAAGUAUUGAAAUGUAUGUCUAUCUUUGAUCUCCUGUGGAGAAUAUAAUAAGUUGUAGAUGUAAUCCAUAUUGGAAGAGAGAUUGUUAGGAUUUGUUGUUGGAUUCAAUGGAGCAGGUGCACAUUUUUGUAAAAAUACCAGAAUUUUGAAAUAAAAAUUUAUAAAUUUAUUUUAUUUCUGAGUAAA